UAGGGAAUCUUCCGCAAUGGGCGAAAGCUUGACGGAGCAACGCCGCGUGAGUGAUGAAGGUCUUCAGAUCGUAAAACUCUGUUAUUAGGGAAGAACAAAUGUGUAAGUAACUAUGCACGUCUUGACGGUACCUAAUCAGAAAGCCACGGCUAACUACGUGCCAGCAGCCGCGGUAAUACGUAGGUGGCAAGCGUUAUCCGGAAUUAUUGGGCGUAAAGCGCGCGUAGGCGGUUUUUUAAGUCUGAUGUGAAAGCCCACGGCUCAACCGAGGAGGGUCAUUGGAAACUGGAAAACUUGAGUGCAGAAGAGGAAAGUGGAAUUCCAUGUGUAGCGGUGAAAUGCGCAGAGAUAUGGAGGAACACCAGUGGCGAAGGCGACUUUCUGGUCUGUAACUGACGCUGAUGUGCGAAAGCGUGGGGAUCAAACAGG
rnacentral:rRNA from 1 species